GGUUAUGGCUCAGUGGUAGAGCGCUCGCCUAGCACGUGCAAGGCCCUGGGUUCAAUCCUCAGCACCA
rnacentral:tRNA from 1 species